UACGAGGGGGCGAGCGUUGUUCGGAAUUAUUGGGCGUAAAGGGUGCGUAGGCGGUUUGGUAAGUCUGAUGUGAAAUCUAUGGGCUCAACUGGGCGGGGUCAGCGGAUACGGCAGAGCUUGAGCAAGCUAGGGGCAAUGGAAUUCCCGGUGUAGUGGUGGAAUGCGUAGAUAUCGGGAGGAACACCAGUGGCGAAGGCGGCUCACUGGGCUGACCUUGACG
rnacentral:rRNA from 1 species